CCUACGGGAGGCAGCAGUGGGGAAUAUUGCACAAUGGGCGAAAGCCUGAUGCAGCAACGCCGCGUGAGCGAUGAAGGCCUUCGGGUCGUAAAGCUCUGUCCUCAAGGAAGAUAAUGACGGUACUUGAGGAGGAAGCCCCGGCUAACUACGUGCCAGCAGCCGCGGUAAUACGUAGGGGGCUAGCGUUAUCCGGAAUUACUGGGCGUAAAGGGUGCGUAGGUGGUUUCUUAAGUCAGAGGUGAAAGGCUACGGCUCAACCGUAGUAAGCCUUUGAAACUGGGGAACUUGAGUGCAGGAGAGGAGAGUGGAAUUCCUAGUGUAGCGGUGAAAUGCGUAGAUAUUAGGAGGAACACCAGUUGCGAAGGCGGCUCUCUGGACUGUAACUGACACUGAGGCACGAAAGCGUGGGGAGCAAACAGGAUUAGAUACCCCAGUAGUC
rnacentral:rRNA from 1 species